UCCAUCAACUCAGCCACAAAAAGGAAACAAACCAAAUUAUAAUAGGAUUCAUUCAUUCAAUAAUACAAAGUUCAAAGAACCAAGUUACAACAACCAUCAACUCAGCCACAAAAAGGAAACAAAACAAGUUAUAAUAGGAUUCAUUCAUUCAAUAAUACAAAGUUCAAAGAACCAACUUACAACAACCAACUACAUAUACGCAUUUUCAACCCCUACUCCAUUGAUCAAGAUACAUAUACACAUACGCAUUUUCAUAUCUCCUACUGUACAAUUGAAAGCUCCUAGUAACCGUGGGAGUUCUCUUCCAUCUGCUUCUACUCACCUUCGAUUGCCUGUACAAUUGAAUCAAAGCUACAGUUACUGAUUCCUUGCACUUUCCACAAGUCCACGAGGUUCUACUUGUCUCAAGCAUAUAACGGUAAAAAUCUGAUUAUGAUUUCCACCUGGAGUUCCUAACCCGACCCCUAAUUGUCCCCAUCCUCGACCAGCGAGUGGUAACGUUAACCAGUGGAAUAACAACAACCAAAAUAAUCGGUACCCACAAAACCAAAACCCUAAUUUGAGCCAAAAAUAUCCUCAACAAGGUGGGUUUUAGAGUCAGGGUUCUCCCCAAAACUUUCGUCAGAGGCAGAAUUAUCCGCAGCCUGGAGGUGGAAAUCAUAAUCAAAGAUAUUAUGCGGACCAGUGAAGGGAAGAGAUGGCGGCGAUUCUCAGGCCGGUGGCGUCCAUUUUGUACCAGCCCGCAUCACUAUCCUGGAGAAAAUUGUGGCCGGAAUUAAAGGGUUUGAAUUGGGGGUUUUGAUAUUGAGAAUAGGGGAGAGUCGUGUGUGUGUUUUAUCCGAGGUUGUCAAUUUAACAGAGAAAUGGUUGCCACGUCUGCUUCUGUCAUCCACGCGUAGUUUUCCGUUUAUUUGAAGAGAUGGAAGUUAAAUGAGUGCUGAAUGGGUAACUAAAUAGAAAGAUGGGUGACCAUUAAAUAACCCGUUAAAGAAGAGUAAGUAAGUAGUAACCAUUUCAAAGUUGAAUGAUAAUUGAUUAAAUAUACUCGUGUGGCUAAAGUGGACACACUUUAUUUAAUAUCACAGCUGUGGGUUUUGGGGGGUUUUGGUUUGUUCUUGGAACCGGUGGGUCUGCCUCUAGGUCGUCUUGUCAUUUUUUCUUCUCUGGUGGCUGGCACUAGCUCUUCUUCCUCGACGGCAGCACGUCGCCAGUGAUGAUGGUGGUGGAAACACCGUAAUUGUUGUCACGAUCUCGCUUUAGGCUGCGGUUUAUAUUGCUAUUUUUGCUUUAUUCAUCUUGACGAUUCUGCUGGUGGUGCUAAAAUUGGUAGUGGUGGAGGGGCUGAAGAUCUCUGGGGUGAAAUGGAGGCGGCAAAGGGUGGCCCUGAAAUUUUUUAUUUGGCGGCUGUAAUUGAAUCUUAUUGCAAUUAAUAUACUAAGUGUUGAAUCUCCUUUUCAAUUUCUGUGGUGGUGGUGGUGUUAUAAUAGUUGGUUUUGGGCUUUCUUAGACUCGCCGGAAGGGGUUCUUCCGAGAAUCUCAUGUUUCAUUAUAGUUGACCCAUCCAUUGAUUGGCUAUGCUGAUGUCUUACUCUUGGCUUCCCGACUAAAGCUGCAGCAACACUAUCAGCUGAAGGGUUGACUAGUGAUGAUGCUGAUGCUGGAUAGAUGACAAAUAUUUAAAAUGAAGUAGCAGAUGACUAAAGCUGCUUGAAUUCGAAGAAAUCCCAUGAUCAAAAUGACCCAACUCUAAUGAACUGCAUGGUCCUAAAGGAGACAAAUCGACGACUAUAGUCCAAUGUGCAAAGGUCUGCC
rnacentral:lncRNA from 1 species